rnacentral:lncRNA from 10 species
GGAAGGGAGUAUGUGUUUCACUUAGGACCCAGAGAAUGGGGAUAUAUGGGGUACUUCCCUAACAUUUAGACGCCCUGCUGUCUCCUAGUCUGGUCAUGAAUGCUUCUGAGGAGGUCUCAGGACGCUUGACGUCAUCAGGUGGAACCGCGCACGCACUUCCUCCCUCUGCCAGUUCUCAAGUCAGCACAGCCCCGGGACCCCACGGUGUGGAAACACCACCCCACUGGUUCUCCUAGGGCAGUGUGGACAUUGUUUGGCCAUCUUUUUCCAGCUCUCAAUUUUUUUUCUCAGGUGCAUCUCGAUGAGAUGAGACCCAGCAAAAGAAAAGAAACCUUAACCUGGGAUCGAAAAAAAGCAUUUGAAAUAAAAUCAAUCAUCUUAGAAUCAGGGCGUGGCAAAGGAACACUCAGGACUGUGGGUAGUGGUAGGACACACUCACAUGUCUCACACAGAUGUGCAAAGGAAAUAGAGUUUGUUUCUUAAAACUUACGCGAUCUUCCUUACCGACCGCACUCUCCUGGAUGGUAGUAGUUAGGGAAAGACGCGGAAACCAACUUUAAACUUGCCAAUUAACGCUAUUCCAGAACCUUGGGAUUUAAAUAGUCGCUCUCGGAUGACUUAGUUUCUUUUGGGAGUAUUGCUUCUCCAAAAAGGGCUCUAACAACCUCAGAGAUUGCAAUUCCUUACAUGCAAUGGAAUGCCAAUGGAUUUUCAGUGGAACUUUUAAACACAGGCAUUAAAUACAUGAGGACACAGCCAAUGACAAACCCAAUUCUUAACUGCCACAAAUGCCUUCAGGGACGAAAGAGAAAUCUGGCAGAAGAUCCAUCUUGGGCAUGGGAGUCCCAGAGCAUUCCUCCAGGACAUGACUGUGCAGAGGUUUGUCUGCUGACCUUGGAAGCCUUUGCUCAGGAAGUACAGGAACAGUGAGAGUGCAUUAUGCAGGCCAACUGGCACAGUCUGUCCAUGUGUUCACAAUAUGCCUUGAACAUUGUCCCUUUCUCUAUUUAAACCUAAUUGUAUGUCCCCCUGAGAACUAGUUUUGUUUAAAUUAUAGCUGACUGUUCUAGAUCUAUUAAAUAGUGAUAUUAUGUCU